UUAAUAGUUAUGUUCUUUAAAUUUAAAAAAUUUGGCGGUAUUUUAGUCUUAUUAGAGGAACCUGUUUAUUAAUUGAUAAUCCACGAUUAAUUUUACUUAUUUUAAUUAAUUCAUAUAUCGCUGUCAUGAAUAUAUUUAAAAAUUUAUUUUCUUUUUUUAUUUUUAUAAUUUAUGUUAAGUCAAGAUGUGGUUUAUAAAUAAGAAUAUAAUGGGUUACAAUAAAUUUAAAUUUUGGAUUUUAAAUGAAAAUUAAAAUGAAAUUGGAUUUAAUAGUAAAUUUAUUUAUUUUAUUAAUAUGAAUAAAGAUCUAAAAUAUGUACAUAUUGCCCGUCAUUCUUAUUAAAAAUAAGACAAGUCGUAACAAAGUAAAUGUACUGGAAAGUGUAUUUAGAAAGAUUAAUUAAUUAAAAA
rnacentral:rRNA from 1 species